rnacentral:rRNA from 1 species
CACGUAGGUAACCUGCCCAUGUGUCCGGGAUAACUGCUGGAAACGGUAGCUAAAACCGGAUAGGUAUACAGAGCGCAUGCUCAGUAUAUUAAAGCGCCCAUCAAGGCGUGAACAUGGAUGGACCUGCGGCGCAUUAGCUAGUUGGUGAGGUAACGGCCCACCAAGGCGAUGAUGCGUAGCCGGCCUGAGAGGGCAAACGGCCACAUUGGGACUGGGACACGGCCCAA